rnacentral:rRNA from 1 species
UGGGGAAUUUUGGACAAUGGGGGAAACCCUGAUCCAGCCAUCCCGCGUGUGCGAUGAAGGCCUUCGGGUUGUAAAGCACUUUUGGCAGGAAAGAAACGUCAUGGGUUAAUACCCCGUGAAACUGACGGUACCUGCAGAAUAAGCACCGGCUAACUACGUGCCAGCAGCCGCGGUAAUACGUAGGGUGCAAGCGUUAAUCGGAAUUACUGGGCGUAAAGCGUGCGCAGGCGGUUCGGAAAGAAAGUUGUGAAAUCCCCGAGCUCAACUUUGGAACUGCAUUUUUAACUACCGGGCUAGAGUGUGUCAGAGGGAGGUGGAAUUCCGCGUGUAGCAGUGAAAUGCGUAGAUAUGCGGAGGAACACCGAUGGCGAAGGCAGCCUCCUGGGAUAACACUGACGCUCAUGCACGAAAGCGUGGGGAGCAAACAGG